AUGGUCUGGCUGCAGACCAUGGGCGAGUGGAGCUCCACUCUCAAACCGGAAAUACGUCACCUCCACUUGAAAACAUCAAGAUGGCGUCGCCGGGAGUACUUCAAACUUAAACUCAGAUCAAAUGUAUAUCAAGUGUUAUCCAUCCUCAUAACACCUCCACAAAUAGAGACUGAAACUUCUGAGCACCAUCACCUUGUCUGCUAUGGGACUGUCAUAGCCCAGCAAUCAGAUGCAUCAGAACAACAAAGCACAACUGUGGUGGACCAGGCACCUUCAGCAACAAGUAAAUUGCUUUAACAUUAAUGAUAAUUAAAUAUCAGUAUUGUAAUUAAACUUGACCCAUCUGACGUAAUUGUUCAUGCCAGAGAUUUAACAACACUGUCAGUCAGGAGCAUAUUUAACAGGAGGCACACUUCAGCUGGCUUGAUGGUGACUUCAGUAAGUGUGGUCAACCCUCUUGUUUUUGUGGCUAUAACAAUUAGACUAAGUAAUCUCACUCUCUUCCAUUUCCUUAACAUUACCCUUUUUUUUGUUGAUACUGAACAGGUGCAGUGAAGAUAUUUAAAGAGACACUAUCUAAAGUACAGAAAGCCGUACAUAAUCUCUAGGUGCAAUCGCCUACAGUGCAGCCAGCUUCACAAAGACUGUGGGGCUGGUCACCAGGAAAAUGGCCAACAAGGAGUGCUUUUGGGGUUUUACUCCUCAGAUGACCACCCUGGCUACUGUAGCUGGGAUUGCUUCACAGACAAUGGAGGUCUUGAAGAGUAAAGUGUGCGUGCAUGUGAACACAUUGUGUUAUUACAGUAACAAUUAUGGUCACUUGCAGUUCAUGUGUUUUCAAUGUAGUGUAAGAUGUGUUAAUUAUUAUUAUUACUCAAAAACCAUUAAAACUUCUAAAUUGUGGAAGUUAUUCUUCAUUAUUUUACUGUGGUUAUUUUGUAUAUGUUGUUAUUUUGAUUAAAAUACAAAAUUCAACACACAUAAUUCUGGUUGAGGUAUUAUUUUAAUAAUUUAUUUAAUAUUUCAUUUAUUUUUCACUGCUAAAUAUUAAAAACAUAAGGUUAACUUUCUAAAAUGUAUGGAAUGUUACAUUGGCAGUUGUACACUGGUAAAACAAACAUGAACAAAUUGAUGUCUGUAGUGCAAAUUGCUGGGGGGGGGGGGGGGGUAAAAAAAAUGCUGUCUUGUCAUAAACCGUAAAAGAUUAGUAUAUAUAUAUAUAUUUUUUUUUUUUCUACUAGGUAAAAGUAACAAAGAUAAAAGUACAGAACAUAUUAACAUUACGUACAAAGAGGUGACAUAACUGGCAAAGCACCCUUUAUACGUGUAUAUAACAAGUAAUACAAAACGAAAGUUUGGUGGUAGUGACAUAUUUUCCCUCUUAAAUGGAGCUCCACUCGCCCCCAUGGAGGCGACGUAAUUCUACGUAAAGUGUUACCCGGACCAACAUGGCGGCCGCGUCAUUAGUGGAGGCGACGUAAUUCUACGGAAAGUGUGGCCCGGUCCAACAUGGCGGCGGCGUCCCUAGUGGAGGUGACGUAUUUCCGCUCUUGAGUGGAGCUCCACUCGCCCAUAUGUCUGCAGCCAGACCCUCUUGCCUCUCGCCGCUUCUCUCUCUCCAGUCCAGCGUGUGGCGCUAAAACACAUUUGUGUGUUUCUCAAACACCAUCAAGCCUCAGAGGAAGAAGAUUCGUUUCACCGCGCUGUCUGUUGUUUUAAUGUGGCGCUGGUUUAAUACAAACUGUUAGAAAUAUAAUUUCUGUAAACAGGAAAAUACAGUUUUUGAAUCGGGUCAGUGAAUACAUGUUAUAUUCACUUCAUCAUUAGUCGUGUCUAAGUGUUGAAGCAAAGAGAAAUAUAUC
ensembl:lncRNA